AGAUUUCAUUUCUUUUGAUGACUGCAUAGUAUUCCAUUAUAUAUGUGUGUGUGUGUGUGUGUGUGUGUGUGUAUGCACACACACACACAUACACAUACAUACAUACCAUAUCU
rnacentral:miRNA from 1 species